rnacentral:rRNA from 1 species
GCGGCAGGCCUAACACAUGCAAGUCGAGCGAUUGCAGCAAUGCAGGAGCGGCAGACGGGUGAGUAACGCGUGGGAACGUGCCUUUCGGUUCGGAAUAACUCAGGGAAACUUGAGCUAAUACCGGAUACGCCCUACGGGGGAAAGAUUUAUUGCCGAAAGAUCGGCCCGCGUCCGAUUAGCUAGUUGGUGAGGUAACGGCCCACCAAGGCGACGAUCGGUAGCUGGUCUGAGAGGAUGAUCAGCCACACUGGGACUGAGACACGGCCCAGACUCCUACGGGGGGCAGCAGUGGGGAAUAUUGGACAAUGGGCGCAAGCCUGAUCCAGCCAUGCCGCGUGAGUGAUGAAGGCCCUAGGGUUGUAAAGCUCUUUCGCCAGGGACGAUAAUGACGGUACCUGGAUAAGAAGCCCCGGCUAACUUCGUGCCA